GAGUUUGAUCCUGGCUCAGAGCGAACGCUGGCGGCAGGCUUAACACAUGCAAGUCGAGCGGGCGUAGCAAUACGUCAGCGGCAGACGGGUGAGUAACACGUGGGAACGUACCUUUUGGUUCGGAACAACUGAGGGAAACUUCAGCUAAUACCGGAUAAGCCCUAACGGGGAAAGAUUUAUCGCCGAAAGAUCGGCCCGCGUCUGAUUAGCUAGUUGGUGAGGUAAUGGCUCACCAAGGCGACGAUCAGUAGCUGGUCUGAGAGGAUGAUCAGCCACACUGGGACUGAGACACGGCCCAGACUCCUACGGGAGGCAGCAGUGGGGAAUAUUGGACAAUGGGGGCAACCCUGAUCCAGCCAUGCCGCGUGAGUGAUGAAGGCCCUAGGGUUGUAAGCUCUUUUGUGCGGGAAGAUAAUGACGGUACCGCAAGAAUAAGCCCCGACUAACUUCGUGCCAGCAGCCGCCGCGGUAAC
rnacentral:rRNA from 1 species